rnacentral:rRNA from 1 species
AGUGAACGCUGGCGGUAGGCCUAACACAUGCAAGUCGAACGGCAGCACAGGAGAGCUUGCUCUCUGGGUGGCGAGUGGCGGACGGGUGAGGAAUACAUCGGAAUCUACUUUUUCGUGGGGGAUAACGUAGGAAAACUUACGCUAAUACCGCAUACGACCUACGGGUGAAAGCAGGGGAUCUUCGGACCUUGCGCGAUUGAAUGAGCCGCUGUCGGAUUAGCUAGUUGGCGGGGUAAAGGCCCACCAAGGCGACGAUCCGUAGCUGGUCUGAGAGGAUGAUCAGCCACACUGGAACUGAGACACGGUCCAGACCCCUACGGGAGGCAGCAGUGGGGAAUAUUGGACAAUGGGCGCAAGCCUGAUCCAGCCAUACCGCGUGGGUGAAGAAGGCCUUCGGGUUGUAAAGCCCUUUUGUUGGGAAAGAAAUCCAGCUGGUUAAUACCCGGUUGGGAUGACGGUACCCAAAGAAUAAGCACCGGCUAACUUCGUGCCAGCCGCCACCGUAA